AUCCAGCUGACGAGUCGCAAGUAGGACGAAACGCGUGUCCUGGAU
rnacentral:hammerhead_ribozyme from 1 species